ACAUACUCCAGAACAUACAAGAUGGGCACGAGCAAGUUGAUUCGUGUGACAAAAUUUGCAUAACAUCAACAACGUCCUGGUAACGAAUGUGGCUUCUACGCAACCCACCGUAUCAUCUUAGCACUUGGAUUAAUAGAUGUUACCCGACUUGAGGAUUUUGAGGUGAAGGUGAAUCCUCUCGGAGAAGAUGCGUUGGACAACAUUUGAGAAAAGCUCUCUUCUGUUUUGCUGGCACAAGUGAUCAAUAAAAAGGGAGAGUUCCACUGCCAAAACCCAAGGAUCCGAAGCUGCUAGUUGAUAUUACUAUUGUUUAUGUUUGUGCACUGUGAUGCUUUUAUUCCUGUGAUCGAUGUUCCACACUUUGCUUAUGUUUCUGAAUUGCAAACCAAGGAUGUGUUGUGUUCCGGAUUUGCAAACCUAUGAUAUUGAUGUUAAAUGAAUCAU